UACGGAAGGCAGCAGUGGGGAAUAUUGCACAAUGGGCGCAAGCCUGAUGCAGCCAUGCCGCGUGUAUGAAAAAGGCCUUCGGGUUGUAAAGUACUUUCAGUCGUGAGGAAGGUGUUAAGGUUAAUAACCUUAGCAAUUGACGUUAGCGACAGAAGAAGCACCGGCUAACUCCGUGCCAGCAGCCGCGGUAAUACGGAGGGUGCGAGCGUUAAUCGGAAUUACUGGGCGUAAAGGGCACGCAGGCGGUUAAUUAAGUUGGAUGUGAAAUCCCCGGGCUUAACCUGGGAAUGGCAUUCAAGACUGGUUAGCUAGAGUCUUGUAGAGGGGGUAGAAUUCCAUGUGUAGCGGUGAAAUGCGUAGAGAUGUGGAGGAAUACCGGUGGCGAAGGCGGCCCCUGGGACAAAGGCUGACGCUCAUGUGCGAAAGCGUGGGGAGCGAAACAGGGA
rnacentral:rRNA from 1 species